rnacentral:rRNA from 1 species
AGGACGAACGCUUGCGGCGUGCCUAAGAAAUGCAAGUCGAACGGGAGCUUCGGCUCUAGUGGCGAACGGUCGCGUAACACGUGGGCAACCUGCCCUGAAGCGGGGGACAACAGUCCGAAAGGAUUGCUAAUAACCGCAUGUGGUUGCAGAAGGCAUCUUCUGUACCUAAAGACUUCGGUCACUUCAGGAUGGGCCCGCGGCCUAUCAGCUUGUUGGCGGGGUAAUGGCCCACCGAAGACGAUGAUCUGUA